UACGUAGGCAGCGAGCGUUGUUCGGAGUUACUGGGCGUAAAGGGUGUGUAGGCGGUUGUUUAAGUUUGGUGUGAAAUCUCCCGGCUCAACUGGGAGGGUGCGCCGAAUACUGAAUGACUUGGAGUGCGGGAGAGGAGAGUGGAAUUCCUGGUGUAGCGGUGAAAUGCGUAGAUAUCUGGAGGAACACCGGUGGCGAAGGCGGCGUUCUGGACUGUAACUGACACUGAGGAACGAAAGCCAGGGGAGCAAACGGG
rnacentral:rRNA from 1 species